ensembl:snRNA
ACCAUCCUUUUCUUGGGGUUGCGUUACUGUCCAAUGAACGUCUAGUGAGGAUAGUACUGCUAACGCCUGAACAACACACCCGCAUCAACUAGAGCUUUGCUUUAUCUUGGUGCAAUUUUUGGAAAA